GUGGAGUAUAUCUUUAGCAUUAUCUUGAUUUUGACAUUUCUUAAUUAAGUAAGCUUCUGGAUGUGUGUGUUUAUAAAAAUAAGACGCAUCAUCUGCUGUGUCCAGUAGGUCAGAGGAAUAAGCGAGGGGUUGGUUGUCCGUUGGUUAACAAGAGAUGAGUCUACUUUCUUCGUUUCUUAUCUCUUUAUUUCUAUUUUUUUUAAUUGCAUUUUUAAUUGCUAACAACAUUUGCCACGUGGUUCUUUAUUUCUACUCAUAAUUUUGCAGGAAGUAUCAUAUUAUUUUAAAACCUUCUUUACUGUGGAAAAAUAUAUCCCAUGAUAAAAAGCGCCGAGACAACACACAGUUUGGAAUUGUUGGAUCAGCGAUAUACCAUCAGCCCACGUUAUCUUUAUUUUUCCUCGUAUAAAAGACUCAAUUGGUGGCGGCUGUCCGUCACCAUUGGACCGCGUGCUUUGAUUUUUUUUAAUUGUUUGGUAAUGUAGCACAAAUCAUCUUCACUCCUAUAAAGACUCAAUUGGCGUGGUGUCAGUCCGUCAUCAUUAGACCGAGUCCCUCGAUAAAAAAAAAUUCCCUCCUUUGUUGAUUUGGCAC
rnacentral:lncRNA from 1 species